CAAUAGCGUAUAUUAACGUUGUUGCAGUUAAAAAGCUCGUAGUUGGAUUUCUGGAGGGAGCGUCGGCCCGUAUUUACGAGUGCGUGACGUCUCUGUCCAUCCUUGCGGGAAGGCACGGCAUUGAUUUGUUGUGUCGGAUCGCAUCAUUUACUGUGAAAAAAUUAGAGUGUUCAAAGCAGGCUUUCGCUUGAAUACAUUAGCAUGGAAUAAUAAGAUAGGACUUUGGUGCUAUUUUGUUGGUUGAGCCUAAAGUAAUGAUUAAUAGGGAUAGUUGGGGGCACCUGUAUUGCGUUGUCAGAGGUGAAAUUCUUGGAUGUACGCAAGACAAACAGCUGCGAAAGCGUCUGCCAAGGAUGUUUUCAUUAA
rnacentral:rRNA from 1 species